ACAGGUUUCCCUAACAGAGAUCCCAAAGAUCUAGAAAUUGGGGUUUAAAAGCUACUAGCUUCCAACCUGUAUGAGCUUAGAGAGUUAUAUUUAUUUACAAUGGUAAUUUAAAAAAUUGUGCAGAAAUAUGAUAUAUGCAGAGGUUUACGAUGCUAACUCAGGUCUCAGGUUGAAUCUCAAGGUGCAGGGCACAAUGUAAAAGCACAUAAAAAAGGUUUGAAGUCUUAUUUCUUCAGUAUUUAAAUUUGAAGAGCUUGCCAACAUUCUGAUUUCUCUCUCUUAAUUAUCUAUGUAUACACAAUAUUCAUUGUGAAAUACUGUAUGUUAGACGUAACAAUAUCCUUAGAACACAUAAUUUGAUCUAUUAGAUUUAGUCGGGUAUAUAUGGGAGUUAAUCUAUGAGAUUAAAGCUAUUACUGCAUCUGCAGCAUAUAAAGGUAUUUGUCACUUCCCUUUGUUUAUCAUUUCGAUGAUUGAUUGAUUUUUAUUUAUUUUUUAUGUGGGUGGCAGCUACUGGAGAAAAAGUCAUGGUUUGUACUACUCAUCUCUUAUACUGGUAGGGAACAUCGUCCCUCUAGUAUUUUUUUCUUUUUAAUAUUUGUCCGAUACUUAAAUCCUGAGCUUUUUAAAUUUAACAAAGAUAAUAACAAGCUUCAUUUCAUGGAACAUCUUUGUGAGGGUCAGUUUCUUAUAUAAAAAAAAUAGAGGGUCAGUUAUCCUGAGAAAUGAUGCUUAGCUUAUAAGUUUUGAAGAUAUAGUGAUCAGCACAGAGGUUCCCGGCCACUGGUGUGGGUGAUUUCACUUAAUGCUAUGUAUCCUAUUUUUGACAACUUAGUUUCACAUUUUGGAAUUUGUAAGGAAAGGUAAUUUGUAAUUCUAAAAAAUUGUGACUUGGUUAAAAUUUAGUGGACAAUUCUUAUAUAAAGGCUUGAAAUUGAGUUGUUGAACAUAACUUAAGCUAAUUUAGAAUUUCCUCAUCAUUUAAUGAUUUGAUAAUAAGAGGUAACAAUUCGUCGGUGGUGCAAACAUUUUUCUAUAAUAUGCAAUUAUGCACGGUCCAUUAGGUAGGAAUGUGCUUUUUUAGUAGUCCAUGCUUGAAAAGUGGAAGCAGAAUAAUACUCCUACUAUUUUGAAAAGGCAUCUUGACUUUUAUAGACUUUUUAUGUCAUAAAUCUUUAAAUUAAUGUAGACUGUGAUACCAUAUGCUUUUGUGCUUUAAUUGAUUGGUGUUAGAUUUAUGAGUUUCUAAAAGUAAGAUCACUAAAACUUUAAUUCUGCUUACAAUUCCAAAAAAUGUGGGGGACACUAAAAGGUAAUAAUCAAUGGGGGCUCAUUACGUCUGGACUUCUCCUUGCAUUUUGUAGGCUGUACCAUAGGACUCUUAUCUGCUCUCUGAACUUUCUUGUCUUCAUGAAGUCCAAUAAUUGAAUGUACCUUUUUAUAGCUGGCUUUGAGUAUGAUACUUCUUCCUCUUUCUUUGGUCAGUUAAUUAGAAUUAAAUAUAAAGAAAAGGGAUUAUUUAUUAUCUUGGUUUUAGCACUUUUGAUUUCUUGACUAUUAUGAAGCUUCAAGAACUGAAGGAAAAGCCUGACCUUGGUUGGCUUAGGAUACAGGGGGAAGGCAAUUGAAAAAUAUGGAAUUUCAAUGAAUUUUAGGGAUUGAUAUGAGCUAUUUUUAUACUAUUGGGUCAUAAUUAGAGUAUCAACUAGUUUGUUUCUGGAUUUAUGUGUCUCUCAUUAUCUCAUAUUUAUUCAACUUUUAAUUUGGUAAGAACCAACUUGUGUCUAAUUGGUAACAACAACAAUGAUUCUCUUACUGUGGGGUCUCCUAUCAGUAUUAUACUAUACCAUACAUACAUACAUACAUAUAUAUAUAUAUAUAUAUAUAUAUAUAUAUAUAUUCUUGUCUCUAUAAAAAAGUUGGAAAAAAUAGCAAGUUGCUUCACCACACUGCAAUAAGCAUUUUUUACACUAUUGUCUGUAGAAUCUCUCUAGUGCCUAGGUUGUUUUUAUUACUUUUGUGAUGUUUGUGUGAUCUAGAAGAUGGAUACUGUAGAGGUGUCAAAAUUAAGGACUAAGUCUUAUGAAGAUCAAAACCGGGGAAAGUUACCAACAUGUCUCACAACUAGCCGAAAUAUGGUUCAGGAAACAUGUAGAUCCCUAUAUACCUUAGAUAUUUUGGUAACUUAAUUAGGAGUAUGUGACAAUUGACAUGGUACUGGAUUAUUUUUUUAUAUUUUAUGUUCGUCAUUAUAGAUCGUUGAUUCUGGUGCCAUUAGGUUUAGAAGAAUGCGAAUAAAUUGUUUGCAAUAAAACUGCUGUUGUUGAAUUUAUAGCUGACCUAAUCUUGUGCUGCUUUAGAAAAUGCUGCAACUUUCAUAGUUUUAAAGGUUGAAUUCACAUUAUGGGAGAAUGAUGAUUUAGCUUACUUAAUUAUCAAAUGUAGAGGUGGUCUGGAAUUAAAAGAAAAUGCCAUUCAACAACGAAACAAAGUCAUUAAAAAAAUUAACUGAGGGACUUGAAUUUCUUCUCAUAUUCAGCUCCCAUUUAACUUUAUAUUUGUUGGUCUUAAAAAAGCUUAAUUUUACAGGUCAUUAAUUUGUUAUUAGCUUGACACUCAAGCUUGGCAUAAUACUAGCUGAAUAAGGUUCUCACCUUCCCUUUACUCUAGUGGGAAGCAAAAGACAUAUCCUUUACUUGAGAACAAUAACACAACUUCAACGUCCUUGUAAACAAAUACAAGUCAGAUCCUCAAAAUAUAUAGAACUUAGAAUCAAAGUUAAAAUAAGAAAAAUAAAUACAGCUUGUGUGAUUUUUUUGAGAGUAAAAGGACUAGGAAACCCUAAUAGCAUCCCAAAUUAUACCCUUUAGAAUUAUGAAGUUUCCUUUAUCUUAGAGAGCUUAAUUUUGAGUUGACCAAACUAGAACAAAAUGAGUAUCAAUACUGAGUACUGUAAGAGAACCAAUACAUUAUGUCAUGAAUGAGAAAAGGGUUUAUUAUCUUUUUUCCAAAGAAAAUUGUGUGUGUAUAUAUAUGUAUGUAUUAUAAACACUUUUUUUCUUUCAGUAAUUGACAUUCCUAUAUGUGAAAAGCAUGUUUAGGGUGGUGUAUAAAGUGGACUCCGUGUCAUGUGACCCAAAGAAAGAAUCUCUUUUCAUCCAUCCUUACCUAUAUAUAUAAUGAAUAGCGCAUGAAAUAUAAUGAAUGGUCAUAUAUGGAUUCAAAGCCUCUCUCUCUCUCAUGAAUGGUUGUGGGGAAUGUCGUUUGGUUCGAGAUCUUUCAUUAGACUUGGGUAUCAUGAAUGAUUUCGGACCAGGCUUCAUUCCCCUCAACUUUGAGUACAUGAGCAAAUCUGUAAUUGUGACAAAAAAUGGCUUCUUUGUUGUAUUGCUAGAGCCACUGGUACUCUGCGUUUAGCUUGUUCUUGUUCCUGGCUGCGUAUGCAAUCGGUAAAACAUGUAUAGUCCUAAUGAUUACAGGUAGGAGGUUAUCAAGAACAUAGAAUGCAUGCAUGUCGCCAAACAAUGUAAAGGUAGCUACCAGGAUCUGUCAAUCAGGGAGGCUGCAUUUUAGCAUUAUUAUUAUUAUUAUUUAGUUUGAACUCCUCUGUUUUUUUAUUGGUGACAAGAUAUAUCAACCUUUUGACCUCUCUUUCUUGUUGGGUUGUUACAAAUGGUAUGUGAGCAGGUUGUUGAGCGGUCCGGAGCAAAGUGGUAUUUGCCAAGUGGUACACCCCAAGGGGGUGUAAGCCAUCUCUACAAACAGGAGCCAACUUCUGAAUCUCCCAUCGGCUAGAGAGGCAACAGUUAUGUGAUACUCCCUCCGUUGUUUAUUUGUGUUUUUAGAGAGUGAAAUUUGUUUUUGUUUUUUUGUCAUUUGUAGAUUUGAAGGACUUCAUUUCUCAUAUUAUCCAUACAUAUAUUAAAUACUAAUUUGUUUCUCUUUUUCAAUGAAUUUUAGAAGGGUAAUAUUGAGAUUUUAUAACCAUUUUAGUCGAUCAAACAAAGCAUUAAUUGCAUUUCUUAAUGUGUGUGUGUGUGUGUUUAUUUGAACUCCACCAUAAACUAAAGUGUCUUUUAUCCCAAACUUAGGUAGAUGAAUUUAGAAGCGGAACCUUGCAGAGUCGGGUGUCCUGUGUAAUAGUAGACGUCAAUUUAGG
rnacentral:lncRNA from 1 species